ACGUCACUUGUGUUAGGAAUCGUUUUAUAACCUAUCACAGUAAAGGAACGUCCCAGUAUAGCAGCCGAAGAAUGCCGUGAAAGUUUUUGCACAAAGUACAAUUGAUCUACAAUUGAUAUUUUCCGCAAUACUUAUCUGGUGUUUGGACAGGGUGUCCCAUACUCAUGAUAUUUAUGACAGUGGAAUGGCGUUAGUAAAUCAAUUACAAAAAUUUUCGAGAUCAAUUCUCGGUAUUGCAUCAAAUUAUUCAAAAUAUACAAGCAACACAACGUUGCCCUUUUUGCAGGCAACAAGAGGAAUAUCGACCACGCAACCACUUUCAUAAAAACAAGAAGUAAAUAUAACGUUUGUUAAAGCAAGUGGAGAGAGAAUCAAAGCAAAAGGGAAAGUUGGAGAUACUAUAUUAGACAUAGUAGUAAAUAAUGAAGUUGAUUUAGGUGGAUAUGGUGCUUGUGAAGGAACAUUAACUUGUAGUACGUGCCGUUUAAUAUUUUCGAAAGAAGUUUAUGAUGCACUUCCUGACAAACCAACAGAUGAAGAAUUAGACAUGUUGAAUUUAGCAUAUGAAUUAACAGAUACGUCACGGCUAGGCUGUCAAAUAGUAAUGUCUAAGGAACUAGAUGGAAUUGAGGUAAGAGUUCCAUCAACAAUUAAUGAUGCAAGAGCAUAACUGAAAUUAUCUAUAGGUUUUUGAAAAUUUGUAUACAAUGUUAUACAUCUCUUGUUAAAAAACCCUUGUUAUAAUUAUUAAAAUAUUGGUAUUAAAAAAAUAUAAUAAAGAAUCUUGUGUUUAAAUGUGAAGCUUAUAUAUAUACAUAUGUUAUAGUAUAAUUGCAAUUUUGAUAUUUGUACAUUGCCAUUGUAAAAAGCCUAUCCAAUUAUGAAGAAAAUAUAUCUUUUAUUUUUAAUAUA